UACGGGGGGGCGAGCGUUGUUCGGAAUCACUGGGCGUAAAGGGCUCGUAGGCGGCCAACUAAGUCAUACGUGAAAUCCCUCGGCUUAACCGGGGAACUGCGUCUGAUACUGGAUGGCUUGAGAUUGGGAGAGGGAUGCGGAAUUCCAGGUGUAGCGGUGAAAUGCGUAGAUAUCUGGAGGAACACCGGUGGCGAAGGCGGCAUCCUGGACCAACACUGACGCUGAGGAGCGAAAGCCAGGGGAGCAAACGGG
rnacentral:rRNA from 1 species